rnacentral:rRNA from 1 species
GGCUUAGACAGCUAGGAUGUUGGCUUAGAAGCAGCCAUCAUUUAAAGAAAGCGUAAUAGCUCACUAGUCGAGUCGGCCUGCGCGGAAGAUGUAACGGGGCUGAAAUAUAGCACCGAAGCUGCGGCAUCAGACGAAAGUCUGUUGGGUAGGGGAGCGUUCUGUAAGCGGAUGAAGGUUAAUCGAGAGGUUAGCUGGACGUAUCAGAAGUGCGAAUGCUGACAUAAGUAACGAUAAAACGGGUGAAAAACCCGUUCGCCGGAAGACCAAGGGUUCCUGUCCAACGUUAAUCGGGGCAGGGUGAGUCGGCCCCUAAGGCGAGGCUGAAAAGCGUAGUCGAUGGGAAACAGGUUAAUAUUCCUGUACUUGGUAAAGCUGCGAUGUGGGGACGGAGUAGGUUAGGUUAUCGCACUGUUGGAUAUGUGCGUUUAAGUUGGUAGGUGGGAAGUUUAGGCAAAUCCGGACUUCUAUUAAACACUGAGAGAUGAUGACGAGGCUCUAAGGAGCUGAAGUAACUGAUACCACACUUCCAGGAAAAGCCACUAAGCGACAGGCUUUACUAAACCGUACUGAAAACCGACACAGGUGGUCAGGUAGAGAAUACUCAGGCGCUUGAGAGAACUCGGGUGAAGGAACUAGGCAAAAUAGCACCGUAACUUCGGGAGAAGGUGCGCCGGCGUAGAUUGUAGAGAUUUACUCUCGAAGGUUGAACCGGUCGAAGAUACCAGCUGGCUGCAACUGUUUAUUAAAAACACAGCACUCUGCAAACACGAAAGUGGAGGUAUAGGGUGUGAUGCCUGCCCGGUGCUGGAAGGUUAAUUGAUGGUGUAAUCGAAAGAGAAGCACCUGAUCGAAGCCCCAGUAAACGGCGGCCGUAACUAUAACGGUCCUAAGGUAGCGAAAUUCCUUGUCGGGUAAGUUCCGACCUGCACGAAUGGCAUAAUGAUGGCCAGGC